GGCUCCGUAUUUCAAUGGAUAGAAUUUAAGAUUCCGAUUCUUAAGAUGCAGGUUCGAUUCCUGCCGGGGCUA
rnacentral:tRNA from 1 species